rnacentral:rRNA from 1 species
AGCGAACGCUGGCGGCAGGCCUAACACAUGCAAGCCGAACGAACUCUUCGGAGUUAGUGGCGGACGGGUGAGUAACACGUGGGAACGUGCCUUUAGGUUCGGAAUAACUCAGGGAAACUUGUGCUAAUACCGAAUGUGCCCUUCGGGGGAAAGAUUUAUCGCCUUUAGAGCGGCCCGCGUCUGAUUAGCUAGUUGGUGAGGUAAAGGCUCACCAAGGCGACGAUCAGUAGCUGGUCUGAGAGGAUGAUCAGCCACAUUGGGACUGAGACACGGCCCAAACUCCUACGGGAGGCAGCAGUGGGGAAUCUUGCGCAAUGGGCGAAAGCCUGACGCAGCCAUGCCGCGUGAAUGAUGAAGGUCUUAGGAUUGUAAAAUUCUUUCACCGGGGACGAUAAUGACGGUACCCGGAGAAGAAGCCCCGGCUAACUUCGUGCCAGCCGCCGCGGUAAGAC